UGUCAAAGACUACUGUCCAAAUUGUUUUCUUAUUAAAUAUUUAAAUAGUUAAAAUAAAUAUCGCGAACAAGCAUGCCUGUGCCCGAGGACGAAGUGACUAGAUUACACAAAAACAAGCAAGAUGGCACCUCUGGGCCUUCAUCAAAGGCCAAAAGACAUAAGAUGUUAAAGAGAUUGCUUGCUGGUGAGACUCGUGGUGACUCCUACUGUUUAGUACUAUGGUUUGCUGCGUCAAAUGGAGUCACACAUUCACUCCUUGGCGCUGUUAUUGUAUCCAUAAUGAUAUAUUCAUUCCAUGUGGACUCGUCGCAUGCCGCUGUUUUUACAAUAGCUUAUCACUUUUUUUCUGCGGAAGCGAUACUGACUCUAAGUUACGUCAACGGGUGGUCAACUCCAAUGCGGUGGAAGCAUCGGAAAUAUGUUCAUGCAUUUCUUCAAAUAUGUGCACUUGUUUUCGCAGUAAUUGGAACAAUAGAGCUUGUGGUUGAUAGAGGAAGAAUAAGGGGUUUUCAUGGUAUAACAGGAAUGCUGACACUAGUUUUAACAGUGGCAACGUUUGCAGGUGGUCCAUUUGCGAUAAGGAAGGUUCCCAGAGCGCAUCUAGCACACAUGUCAUUUGGUAUUCCAUGUUUUGUAUCAUCUUCUCUAUGCUUGUGUUCAGGGUUAUUCAAAGACGAAUUUAGGAUAUGGGCCGGUAAAACAGUCUUUGGAAUAUUAUUCAUUUUUGUAGUGUUUUACACAUUUUUAAUAACUCUUACAACAUCUAUAAAGUAUUUACAAAAGAUUUAAGUUUUUUAUAUUUUUUAGGUUUGUUAUAUUAAAAUUUUGUAUCUGGAUAAAGGGGUUUGUUUCAUUUAGU